CCUACGGGUGGCUGCAGUGGGGAAUAUUGGACAAUGGGGGGAACCCUGAUCCAGCCAUGCCGCGUGUGUGAAGAAGGCCCUCGGGUUGUAAAGCACUUUCAGUGAGGAAGAACGCCUGGUGGUUAAUACCCAUCAGGAAAGACAUCACUCACAGAAGAAGCACCGGCUAACUCCGUGCCAGCAGCCGCGGUAAUACGGAGGGUGUGAGCGUUAAUCGGAAUUACUGGGCGUAAAGCGCGCGUAGGUGGCUUGAUAAGCCGGUUGUGAAAGCCCCGGGCUCAACCUGGGAACGGCAUCCGGAACUGUCAAGCUAGAGUGCAGGAGAGGAAGGUAGAAUUCCCGGUGUAGCGGUGAAAUGCGUAGAGAUCGGGAGGAAUACCAGUGGCGAAGGCGGCCUUCUGGACUGACACUGACACUGAGGUGCGAAAGCGUGGGUAGCAAACAGGAUUAGAUACCCGUGUAGUC
rnacentral:rRNA from 1 species